AUCACCUGAGGAAAGGGCUAAGUCAGCCAUGGGAACACAAGUGAAGAUGAUUCAGCUACUAGAUCCCAUUUAAGGGCUGACUGGCAGCAGGAAGAAUUUCUUUCUGGAGAUCCUUUGUCUGUGGAGUCCUUCUUGUGAACCUAGAUUUUCAGAUAAAGAUUACAUAUUUUGGAGAUAACCUGUACAACUUUAUCCAAGCUGACUUCCCAACUUGUCUUCAUGGCAGUAGUCAGGAACUUUCUCAUGCUUUUCAUCCCCAUGUGUACAUUCCUUCUAUUUCUACAUAACAGGAUGGAAUUCUAUAGCUGGUCUGAGGUGCAUGGCUUCAUUGCUGUCGUUUAGUGGAGAAUGAAACCUGUUAACCUGGCAGUAGCAUUGCCUUGGAGGCGCCUGAACUAAGGUAGAGUUGAGGCUGCUCCCACCGGGCAGAGCAGGGCUCACUCAGCAUCCUGCGGUCCCUCUUCUGGUGAACGUAUGAACAACUAUUUCAGGAGCUGAGGAGACAUUCCUUUUGUCUUGUCCUGAUACUCUUUGCAAGUUGUUCUGUUUUCUGCAUUUCGUCUUCUUGCUACGUGCUUUAGUGAAUCGGGAUUUAAAAGGCUCUUGAUUUAAGAUCUCCUUUUAAGAAAGGAAGAGAGGGGGGGAAUUCCUGAAUAUUGAGAAUAGCCUUGUCAGAUUAUCACAGUGUAGGAAAUAUUUAAAUAUUAAAUACAGUAGAACUACAGUAUUCUACCAAGCUAGUAUAGACAAACUUUCUAAAUGAAUUAAAUACUUCUGUUCUUCCAUACAUGUACAAACGUUUUCUCUGUACUAGAAAACAUUUGUUCUACACUUUCUUGUUUCAGUGACGUAGAGCUCUAUAUCCAGGUAUCUCUGAACCUCUGUUUUCUACUUUUAGCUUUAGAUAUCAACAUUACUAUUUGAAUUUCUGGGAGAAUUUUCUAAUCAUAUUAUGGUCUUCUAUUAACCUUUCUCAUUUUUCUGUGAUGUAUUAUCUGUUCUUUGCUUGCCAGUGGCUGAAAUAUUUUUUCCCACUUACUCUUGAGAGGUCUGGGUACAGAAGGGUAUGGAUUCCAUUAACAUUAAUACUUCAAGCACUUUAUUAACUUUUUUCUUUCACUUUACUUUUUGAUCCUUUUCCAGAUGGAGGUGAACAAUGCAUAUCUGCUUAAUCAAUCAUGGCUUUGUAGUUUCUAUAUAUACACACAAAAAAGCAUGUUUCAAUCUCUGCGAUGGAGAAAGAAAAAUCUUAGGGAGUAGUGUGUUAAACAGUUUGUAACAAUGUCGGAACUGAAAUUCAUACUAUACAGAAAAACUGUAACAAGUUGUUAUACUAUUAAAAUAUUGCCUUAAAAAUUCUCUGGCUCUAAUAAUGCAUCCUGCUUGGGAGAAAAUCUUAAUCUUGACCCACGAAACUUGAAUCUCAAUUACAUUUGAUUUAUGUAAGCACUUAAUUUAUCCUUUCUGAGGCACUCAGAACACAUACAUAUAUAUUUAGAAGAUAUAAACUGCAGUGUCACUGAAUCCAUAUUGAACGCUAAGGGAAAAAUCCUAAACUUAUUAAAUGAAAGACUGAGCUGUACUCUGUUCCCUAUGUGGAGGAAGAUAGAAUUCAUCUCAACCAACUAACAAAUUCUGAAAAUAAAAAGCCAUUGUACAUGUAAAAGCUGUAGAGCAGACAAGGUAAGUGUUUAGCACAAUAAAAAUUCUUACCUAAGACAUUUAAAUAUUUCUUAACCAUAACCAGCUGACAGAUUGAGGCUGUAGGGUUUAUAUGUGAGUUGAAAUCAAUACGCUGAUAUACAAAUAUGAUAGUCUGCUAUGAUAGCUGUGCUCAAAAAGUGGACAAAUGGUAUUUAAGUACUUGUGCAAUAGAAGUUAUUAUUGGCAAAGACUGGCAUCAAAAGGUCUUGCCUUUCUGUGAAAACAAGGAAAGAUCUUCAUUUUCCUUUCCUAUUACUUUGUACAUAUGAAUUUGUUCUCUCUCCUCGUGCUUUUGAUGUUUUGUGCAUUCAAAAAAAAAAAAAGUAGUUAUUCACAAGGUCUUAACUUCUCAAGGCCAUAAACACUGCAUUUUAGACUGUUACCCGUCAAGUCUUUGAACUACCUCCGACUCAACAUUAAUUUUUCUGGGUUACUCGCCUUGAGUUAAUUAGUUCUCUUCACUGUCUGCCCACAUUUCUGAUUUGUUUUAGAGAUUUCCUUACUUGUACAGAAAAAGAUUUCUUCUUGCUGCAUGCAAGAGAAGUGAAAUAAUGGCCUGCAAUAUUCUGCAAGUUUAUAAAUUCAGGAAGUUGGAAAUCAUAUUGUCAUUCUCCACAGGGAAACCUAUUAUUAUUAUCACCAUUAAGAACUGAUUAAAUAUAUGUUGUCCUUGUAUGAAUAUAUUAUGCUAAUAAUCUUCCAUGAUCUUAUAAUACUUCAGGACAAUUCCAAAUCCAACAGAUGUAGAAGUUCAGCAGUUUUUAGGGGUACUCGCAUCAAUACAUCUAGUAUGGUAUAAUCUGUAGACAAACAUGAAUUAAUAGCACUUAAACUAGGGGUAACUACUGUUAUCAGCUGCCACACUUUCACACAACCAUCUAAAAACUGCCAGCUUCAUUGACCAAUUUCUGUAGCUCAUAUGUAUAUAUGAGCUAUAUAUAUUUUAACAGAUCCUGAGCUACUUGAAAGCUUUUUUCACAUUUCUCUGUACCUCCCAGAUAACUGCAAGGUAGAGAUGUUUUCACUCAGGUGUAAUGUAUUCAAAUAUGGUACAGGUAUUUGUAUGGAAUAAUGUCCAUGUGUAACAAAUCCAGAAGAUUUGCCUUGAAAUCAGUCUCUGGAAAGAUAACAGUAAUGGGAAGAGUAAUGAGCCUUGUGGGAGUCAAGAACAUUAAUUUUUAAAGUAGUUAUUGAGGUUUUUAACACUACAUCUUGGUUUUCUGGAUGACUGGAAUUUGGUGAUGCAAACAACUUGAGGAGGAUGUAUUAACUAUGCACAAUUAAGGUUAACAUUUAAAAUAAAGACAAAAGUGUGUGUUGCGUGUUUUAUGAAAGUUCAAAUGAAAAACAUUCAUGACAAAUGCAUGCGAGCAGAGAUUAUGUAAAUAGCAUCAGGAUCAAUUUACAUCUACUCUUUCAGCAAAAUAAAAUGAUGUUGUAUCAGUUGAGAAAAGUUAAACAACUUUGCAUGUAUUAUUCACUCCUGUUGAGAUGUAUGUUUUCAACACUAAUGCAUUAGAGAAGUGCAAAACUCUUCCCUGCAAGAAUAUUUUUUCAGUUUUUUUUCAGUGGUAGACUACUGAAGACUCAUUUUCAUAAUGUUCACAGGAUGGCAUGAAAAGCAUAGAGUAACAUUUAAUUUUGAAAUAUUCAUUUUUCUGUAGUAUUUCUGCUGUAAUGGAGAAUCAUCUUGAGACCCAUGCCAUUUUUUUUUUUUUUCUUAAGAUGAAACAGAUUGAUGGAAAGAUCAGGAAACUG